CCUACGGGUUGCACCAGUGGGGAAUUUUGGACAAUGGGCGCAAGCCUGAUCCAGCCAUGCCGCGUGUCUGAAGAAGGCCUUCGGGUUGUAAAGGACUUUUGUCAGGGAAGAAAAGGAUAGGGUUAAUACCCCUGUCUGAUGACGGUACCUGAAGAAUAAGCACCGGCUAACUACGUGCCAGCAGCCGCGGUAAUACGUAGGGUGCGAGCGUUAAUCGGAAUUACUGGGCGUAAAGCGAGCGCAGACGGUUACUUAAGCAGGAUGUGAAAUCCCCGGGCUCAACCUGGGAACUGCGUUCUGAACUGGGUGACUAGAGUGUGUCAGAGGGAGGUAGAAUUCCACGUGUAGCAGCGAAAUGCGUAGAGAUGUGGAGGAAUACCGAUGGCGAAGGCAGCCUCCUGGGAUAACACUGACGUUCAUGCUCGAAAGCGUGGGUAGCAAACAGGAUUAGAUACCCUUGUAGUC
rnacentral:rRNA from 1 species